AUUAGAUCUCAAAUCAGGUAGGACUACCCGCUGAACUUAAGCAUAUCAAUAAGCGGAGGA
rnacentral:rRNA from 3 species